rnacentral:lncRNA from 1 species
UGCUGCUUGGGCAGAGCAGUCCAUAUGGUUUCCAGAGGAAGAUUCCAAUGAGCUGAGGAUGGAGAUUCGGGCAGUACAUGGAGCCGGGAAGUUGGGAAAAAGACUCACUUCAGACCCAAGCCGACCCCGCGCAGUGGCCUUGUGACACGUCGCCCGCCUCCCGGCAUCUGUCUGUUACCACAAUGAGCUGCCCUGUUCCUGCCGAAAGCCAGACCGUCUCCAUGUACGUUGAGUCCAGACUCCUCUCGUCUGCUCCCAGACAUCACCCCGUUCUGCAGGUUGGAAGUGUGAAAUCAUCGUGUCGGCAGGGCCUCACUCCAUCUGGAGCUUCUAGAGGAGGAUCCGUUCCUCACCUCCUCCAGCUGCCCGUGGCUCCAGGCAUUCCUUGGUUUGCGGCCGCAUCACUCCACUCUCUGUCUCUGUCUUCACAUGGCCUUCUCCUUUGAGUCUCCUCCCCUCCUCUUACCAGGGGAGGAUUUAGGGCUCAAUCCUAAUCCAGGAUGAUCUCUUCUCAAGAUCCUUAACUUCUGUAAAGACCCUUUUUGCAAAUAAAGUCAUGUUCACAGUUUCCAGCGGGCAAUCUUUUGGGAGACUGCCAUUCGAACCACUGCACCUCUCCCGUUUCAAAUUUGAAAAACACGCCACACUGUAGGGCCUGGGAUCUGGCUUCCUACAGCCAACAAGGGGACAGGCAAAGCAAGCUGGAUGUGUGAGGAAGUAACUCCCAACUGACGAAGCUUGACCAAUGGAAAACAAGAGAAAGAAGAAACCAGGGAGAUGAAUCUCGCCCUCCCUGGCCCUCCUCCCACCCCGCUGAAGAAGGCUUACAUGUUCCAGCAAGCCUGCCAGCCAAGCUGCCCAGCUCUUCCAAGCUCUUCCUGAAGACAACGCCUUCACCCCCUUCUUCUUCCCUCACCUCGCUUCCCACUGUGGCUCAUCCACACCUCCCAGGGCUUGUGCUCUCAAAUAAAUUGUUAGCACCUUAUUCCCUGUCUCAAGCUUUGUUGUCUACAGGAAUCAAGCUACAACUCUAGCC